rnacentral:snRNA from 1 species
UGUUCACUUCAGCAGCACAUUACUAAAAUUGGAAUAAUACAGAGAAGAUUAGCAUGGCCCCUGUGCAAGGAUGACAUGCAAAUUCCAUUUUU